UACGUAGGGUCCGAGCGUUGUCCGGAAUUACUGGGCGUAAAGGGUGCGUAGGCGGCGCGGUAAGUCGGGUGUGAAAUCUCGGAGCUUAACUCCGAAACUGCAUUCGAUACUGCCGUGCUUGAGGACUGGAGAGGAGACUGGAAUUUACGGUGUAGCGGUGAAAUGCGUAGAUAUCGUAAGGAAGACCAGUGGCGAAGGCGGGUCUCUGGACAGUUCCUGACGCUGAGGCACGAAGGUCAGGGGAGCAAACGGG
rnacentral:rRNA from 1 species